GGCCUAACACAUGCAAGUCGAGCGGGGGAUAUUGCUUCGGUGAUUGACCUAGCGGCGGACGGGUGAGUAAUACUUAGGAAUCUGCCUAUUAAUGGGGGACAACAUCUCGAAAGGGAUGCUAAUACCGCAUACGCCCUACGGGGGAAAGCAGGGGAUCACUUGUGACCUUGCGUUAAUAGAUGAGCCUAAGUCGGAUUAGCUAGUUGGUGGGGUAAAGGCCUACCAAGGCGACGAUCUGUAGCGGGUCUGAGAGGAUGAUCCGCCACACUGGGACUGAGACACGGCCCAGACUCCUACGGGAGGCAGCAGUGGGGAAUAUUGGACAAUGGGGGGAACCCUGAUCCAGCCAUGCCGCGUGUGUGAAGAAGGCCUUAUGGUUGUAAAGCACUUUAAGCGAGGAGGAGGCUCUCUUGGUUAAUACCCAAGAUGAGUGGACGUUACUCGCAGAAU
rnacentral:rRNA from 1 species